AGCGAACGCUGGCGGCAGGCUUAACACAUGCAAGUCGAGCGGACCUUUCGGGGUCAGCGGCGGACGGGUGAGUAACGCGUGGGAACGUGCCUCCGGUUCGGAAUAACCCUGGGAAACUAGGGCUAAUACCGGAUACGCCCUUAUGGGGAAAGGUUUACUGCCGGAAGAUCGGCCCGCGUCUGAUUAGCUAGUUGGUGGGGUAACGGCCUACCAAGGCGACGCUCAGUAGCUGGUCUGAGAGGAUGAUCAGCCACACUGGGACUGAGACACGGCCCAGACUCCUACGGGAGGCAGCAGUGGGGAAUAUUGGACAAUGGGCGCAAGCCUGAUCCAGCCAUGCCGCGUGAGUGAUGAAGGCCGUAGGGUUGUAAAGCUCUUUUAUCCGGGACGAUAAUGACGGUACCGGAGGAAUAAGCCCCGGCUAACUUCGUG
rnacentral:rRNA from 1 species